CACAGUUCCCUUAAAGUGAUCCAGCCUCAGGCCUCCAUCCAGCAUACCAGUGAAUGUCAAAUGCCAGAACAGACAUAAAGCCUGGUUUAUUGGUUAUAUCGCCAUUCCACCAAACACUUGCAGCAAACAACCCCCUACUAUUGCUGGAUCUUGGGAGAGGUAACCUGACCUUCUCUGCUGGCCAGUGGCGUGAUCCUGCAGUCACUGAAGUCAAUAGCAAAACGCCCACUAACAUCAGUACUACAGGGGUGUGCCCAAAAUGAACUCUAGACCCUGUUCUAAAGUCAAUAGGUGACUUUCUAAUGCGUUCAUUGAGCUUUGGCUCAGGCUGUAAUCUAGUAUGUCUCCUGUAGCAAAAGAAAAUAGAACACUAGUCUACAGCAAUUACCCCAAACCCUGCAGUCUCACUGUUGCAAGCUGUACUGUUUUGUACCAUUGCACUAGAAUCUUGUCAAAGGGAUCCAAUGAUUAUCAAAACGGGGACAUUAUCGGUCGUACAAGUCAUUCACAUUCUAAACGUGCUACACAAAGAACUGGGAUGUUUAUCAAACACAGAGGUGAAAAAUAGAAUCC